GGGAGCUUGCUCCUGGAUUCAGCGGCGGACGGGUGAGUAAUGCCUAGGAAUCUGCCUGGUAGUGGGGGAUAACGUCCGGAAACGGGCGCUAAUACCGCAUACGUCCUGAGGGAGAAAGUGGGGGAUCUUCGGACCUCACGCUAUCAGAUGAGCCUAGGUCGGAUUAGCUAGUUGGUGGGGUAAAGGCCUACCAAGGCGACGAUCCGUAACUGGUCUGAGAGGAUGAUCAGUCACACUGGAACUGAGACACGGUCCAGACUCCUACGGGAGGCAGCAGUGGGGAAUAUUGGACAAUGGGCGAAAGCCUGAUCCAGCCAUGCCGCGUGUGUGAAGAAGGUCUUCGGAUUGUAAAGCACUUUAAGUUGGGAGGAAGGGCAGUAAGUUAAUACCUUGCUGUUUUGACGUUACCAACAGAAUAAGCACCGGCUAACUUCGUGCCAGCAGCCGCGGUAAUACGAAGGGUGCAAGCGUUAAUCGGAAUUACUGGGCGUAAAGCGCGCGUAGGUGGUUCAGCAAGUUGGAUGUGAAAUCCCCGGGCUCAACCUGGGAACUGCAUCCAAAACUACUGAGCUAGAGUACGGUAGAGGGUGGUGGAAUUUCCUGUGUAGCGGUGAAAUGCGUAGGUAUAGGAAGGAACACCAGUGGCGAAGGCGACCACCUGGACUGAUACUGACACUGAGGUGCGAAAGCGUGGGGAGCAAACAGGAUUAGAUACCCUG
rnacentral:rRNA from 1 species